UAUAGGUUGAGGUUGUAGUAAUAUCUACGUAAGUCGAUAUCUAGAUAGCUAAUUCAAGGGGAACGACACUUACUCGUUAGGCUGCAGUUUCCUGACAGAACUGACUGAUUUACCAAAACUGCAAGAUGUGAUCUAGAUUUAGCACGAGGAAUGGUGGUAUCCCUGUGGAAAGUCAAAAAGAUUAAACAAGAGUGAUGACAAGUUGAUGACUGGAAGUUUGGAGGGAGUGGCAAUGAUUUUGGAUUGGUCACUUGAAGUUACCAGGAAGUAGAAAUCGUACGAGCACAUAGGAUUAACAGUGUUUUAUUUUUUUUUCUGGUACACUAUACUUAAU